rnacentral:rRNA from 1 species
ACGGCGAGUGAAGCGGGAAGAGCCCAAGACGUUAAUCUCCGAAUGGAGAGUUGUGGUCUAUGGACUAGNCGACUGCUGAAUUCCAAGGAGGGGCAAGUCUGUUGGAACACAGCGCCAGGGAGGGUGAUAGCCCCGUCCCCCCACUUUGGAGCAGCUCUAUGUCGGCGUGUCUGAGAGUCGGGUUGUUUGGGAAUGCAGCCCUAAGCGGGAGGUACGCACCUUCAAAGGCUAAAUAUUCAGGCGAGAGACCGAUAGCGAACAAGUACCGUGAGGGAAAGUUGAAAAGCACUCUGGAGAGAGAGUGAAACAGUACGUGAAACCAGAUGUAGGGAAGCGCUUGCAUGGAGUACUUUGGCGGAGGAGAUUCGUCUCUUUCGUCAAGUCCAGCACCAGUUUGGAGUGCGGAGGAAAUAGCGCUGGCAAAGGUAGUGCCAAUUCUCGGAUUGGUGCAUUAUAGGGCCAGUUGCUGCUGCUCUGCCGCGGACUGAGGACAGCGGCAUCCUCUCCCCUCGGGGAGGGGUGCUACGGGGAAUCGGGUGGGCUGUUGCGGGCACCGGGGGCAGACUGCGUGCAGACUGUUUCUGGUGUCGGCGGCACUCUGCCCGGCUGUAGCGAAUGC